rnacentral:rRNA from 1 species
UUUAUCAAAAACAUGGCUCCUUGUAAUAAUAAAUAGGAGUCGGACCUGCCCAGUGAUAGUAUUUAACGGCCGCGGUACCCUGACCGUGCGAAGGUAGCAUAAUCAUUUGCCUCUUAAUUGAAGGCUUGUAUGAAUGGUUUGACUAGAACAAAGCUGUCUCUUUAUAAUUUUAUAGAAUUUUAUUUCUUGGUGAAGAAGCCAUAAUAAAAUUAAUAGACAAGAAGACCCUAUCGAGCUUUAAAAAAGUUAAUAGAAAUAUUAUUUGUAUUUAUAUAAAAUUUACUAUUAAAAAUUUUAGUUGGGGCGACUGAGGAACAAAUAAAGCUUCCUAAGAUUUAAAAAUCUACAUAUAUAGAUCCAAGUUUUUUGAUUAAAGAAAUUAGUUACCGUAGGGAUAACAGCAUUAUCUUCUUUGAGAGUUCUUAUCGAAAAGGGGGUUUGUGACCUCGAUGUUGGACCAGAAUAUCCUAAAGAUGCAGAAGUCUUUAUGGGUUGGUCUGUUCGACCAUUAAAAUUCUACGUGAUCUGAGUUCAGACCGGCGUGAGCCAGGUCAGUUUCUAUCUUUAAUUUUUUAUUCAAGCUUAGUACGAAAGGACCAGUUUGUAGUAUAAUAUAUUAUAAAUGAAAAAAUAUAAUUUAAGAUUCAGUCAGAUUAGCAAAUUUAAUGCAAUUGAUUUAGGAUCAAUAGAUAUAGGUGAAAAUCCUUUAUUUGACAUAUAAAGAUGGCAGAUUUAGUGCAUUAGGUUU